rnacentral:snoRNA from 1 species
UUUAGAUGAUGAUAUUUGAGUAGGAAUCUCAUUGAGCUUCAGUCAUUCGUUGCAAUGAAAUUAAAUUUCUC